rfam:Ostreococcus tauri virus OtV5, complete genome.
GCUUCUAUGGUGUAGUGGUAACACAGUGGACUUUGAAUCCACCGCCACAGGUUCAAUCCCUGUUGGAAGCU